CUCAAGCUCAUCCCUGCCCUCAAACCUCUCCAAACUGCUGCCAAGGUCACUGGCCAAAUCCACCGUCGCCGGCCCUUUUUCUGCCACAACAGCACACCAUCAACUUUUCCGCUCAUCGGUCUGGGGUGGACAUGUGGAAGGGGCUUCGGCCAGGUUGACAUGAUCCACAACGGUGGAACCCGUGAAAGCAGCGACCACGAUCAGUUCUUCCCUGAGGAGGCGCAGGAAGGGGAAGAAUUCUAUGGUGCAGACGAGUUCUUGUUCUAG
rnacentral:lncRNA from 1 species